rnacentral:lncRNA from 1 species
UUUUUUUUUUGAGAGUUAGGUAGCACGCACCCGCUUCAUUUAUUUUAUUUAGAAAUAAACUUUGUUGGAAAUGUGAAUUAACUAGGAUUCGAAUUUGGGUCUCGGAUACCAACCACCAAAUCCCUUGCCACGUGCUCUAGGAACAGUCGGUAAAAAAUCCAACCACAAAUCCAACCACAAAUCCAAAAUUGACACUUUU